AUUGAACGCUAGCGGGAUGCUUUACACAUGCAAGUCGAACGGCAGCGCGGACUUCGGUCUGGCGGCGAGUGGCGAACGGGUGAGUAAUGUAUCGGAACGUGCCCAGUAGCGGGGGAUAACUACGCGAAAGCGUAGCUAAUACCGCAUACGCCCUACGGGGGAAAGCAGGGGAUCGUAAGGCCUUGCACUAUUGGAGCGGCCGAUAUCGGAUUAGCUAGUUGGUGAGGUAACGGCUCACCAAGGCGACGAUCCGGAGCUGGUUUGAGAGGACGACCAGCCACACUGGGACUGAGCCACGGCCCAGACUCCUACGGGAGGCAGCAGUGGGGAAUUUUGGACAAUGGGGGCAACCCUGAUCCAGCCAUCCCGCGUGUGAGAUGAAGGCCUUCGGGUUGUAAAGCACUUUUGGCAGGAAAGAAACGUCGCGGGCUAAUACCCCGUGGAACUGACGGUACCUGCAGAAUAAGCACCGGCUAACUACGUG
rnacentral:rRNA from 1 species